UACAGAGGUCCCAAGCGUUGUUCGGAUUCACUGGGCGUAAAGGGUGCGUAGGCGGUCGGGUAAGUCUGAUGUGAAAUCUCCCGGCUUACCUGGGAGGGGGCAUCGGAUACGGUCGGACUUGAGGGCAUCAGAGGCCAGUAGAACUCCCGGUGGACCAGUGAAAUGGGUAGAGAUCGGGAAGAAUACCAGCGGUGCAGACGGCUGGCUGGGGUGUACCUGACGCUGAGACACGAAAGCAUGGGGAGCAAACAGG
rnacentral:rRNA from 1 species